AUUUAAAUGCUUGAAAGCUUUUGGUUCCCGGGUUGACUGCAUCCUUAGCUCAUAAUUUUUCUAUUCUAGUUGAUUGAGAAAUCGAGAGAAUAUCUUGGGCGUUCGGAUCUUGAGAAACGCACUGUAGCUGGUGGCAUUCUUAAUGUUCAUAUUGGUGAUGCCCUUUCACAGUCAGUUAAUGUUUCUGGAGGGUUUGCCGGCAUUGUCAUUGACUUGUUUUCUGGUGGAAAAGUAUUGCCGCAGUUGCAAGAGGUUCAAACCUGGUUAGAAUUUAAUGAUAGAUUGAUGCCAAAUGGUCGUCUCAUGGUGAACUGCGGUGGCAUUGAUGAAGCAGCUGAUGUGAUAGAUGGAGUGGUUCAUCCCAAAAAUUCUUCAAUUGAUGGUACCUGGGUGC